CUCCUCUCUUCAGCUAACCCUCCCUGGAAAGCUUCUACCAUACUUUCGCAGGUGUGUCUCCCAGGAGCCUCCAAAUCCAGGAAGACUGAGCUGCUACUCUUCUCUAACCAAAUGUGUCCUUGGAAACCUAGAGUUACCAAGUUCUCUAAGUCUGCUGAUUGAUUAGCAAUGUUGAGAAGCAAGAAGACAUGAGCCCAGAGUCUGGAUGUAGCAAUCGAAGGAGUUACCGGGGAAAUUGUGACUUCCAUGCUUUGUGUACCAGAUUGUUGUUGGACAAUUCAUCCAAUCAGAGGAGAUUCGGACAAGGAAUGAGUCCUGAACUCAAGGAAUUCUUGUGAACCAUCCUCUUAUGAAUAAAGGAGCCAAUCACUGGGCGAGUAGGAGGCGGGACUUCCAGGUUGGAUGGAGGAAGAGGAGGAGAGGAGAGUUACAUUCUUUUGGAACUGUGAUCGCACAUGGGCGUGAUGUAUCUCCUAGAGUUUCCUGGUUUCAUGGAGGCUCCACAAAGAUCCGCCACUGGAGGAAUCAGAUUUAUAAGUUUACAAAAUUAGGUUUUAGUUGUUGCCCCCAGAGAUUGAGUUACCAUUGUUUCUGAGCUAAGUUGCGUGGUGUUUCUCUUCACGAUGAUUCAACCGAGUUCAAGAGAGAAAGGUACAGCAGCUGAGAGUGGGUUUCGUGGGGGUUUGAAGCAUGGGAUGGCAUGGUAGUGACCCACCAGUGGGAACUUAGCAAGCCAUGUGGUGAGAUUCUGGAGCUCUGGUGCUCGGUUGGUGCUGGACAUAGAGGGGGAACUUGGAUGGCAGCAGAGGGGGAAGCUGUUCCCGCAACAGGAUCCAAGGUGGAAUCUCAGAUGCAGAGUGGGGCCUAUUGCUAACCAAGAGUGAUGGCACGCUAUUAUCAGAGACCUGAGCAGAGGAGGGAUAUGAUUGGUGGCAGGGCAUUUGCUUCCUCAAGGCACUGCUGGUACUUACAUUCAAUUCCAUAGGUAUCACUUGCCAACCUAGCAUAUGCUAGAUUCUCUAUUAGGAGCUGGAGAAAGAACAGUGUCCGUUUUCAUGGUGUUCACUGGCUAGUGUGAAGGCUGGGAACUAAACAGUUAGUUGUACAUGAUGAUCAUGUAAGACUUUCAGGUCUCAGUUUGAACUUAAAAUGGAAAGAAUCCCACUGUUCCUGGACACAUCCUGGGAGGGGCACAGUCCUU